rnacentral:rRNA from 1 species
UCUCUUGGGAGCAUGUGCACGCCUUGUCAUCUUUAUAUCUCCACCUGUGCACCUUUUGUAGACCUUUCAGGGUCUAUGUUGCUUCAUUCACCCCAAUGUAUGUUAAUAGAAUGUUGUGCCUAUAUAAUAUAUACAACUUUCAGCAACGGAUCUCUUGGCUCUCGCAUCGAUGAAGAACGCAGCGAAAUGCGAUAAGUAAUGUGAAUUGCAGAAUUCAGUGAAUCAUCGAAUCUUUGAACGCACCUUGCGCUCCUUGGUAUUCCGAGGAGCAUGCCUGUUUGAGUGUCAUUAAUAUAUCAAACCUUCUCUCGUUGAGCGGUUUGGAUGUGGGGGUUUGCUGGCCUCUUAAAAGGUUUUGGCUCCCCUGAAAUGCAUUAGCAGAACCAACCCUGUUCAUUGGUGUGAUAAACUAUCUACGCUAUUGAAUGUGAAGGGCAGUUUGGCUUUCUAACAGUCCUCGGACAACUCAUCAUUAAUGUGACCUCAAAUCAGGUAGGACUACCCGCUGAACUUAAGCAUAUCAAUAAGCGGAGGAA